rnacentral:rRNA from 1 species
CGAGGGUGCAAGCGUUAUCCGGAUUCACUGGGUUUAAAGGGUGCGUAGGUGGGCAGGUAAGUCAGUGGUGAAAUCUCCGGGCUUAACCCGGAAACUGCCAUUGAUACUAUUUGUCUUGAAUACCGUGGAGGUCAGCGGAAUAUGUCAUGUAGCGGUGAAAUGCUUAGAUAUGACAUAGAACACCAAUUGCGAAGGCAGCUGGCUACACGAAUAUUGACACUGAUGCACGAAAGCGUGGGGAUCAAACAGGAUUAGAUACCCUGGUAGUCCACGCCCUAAACGAUGGAUACUCGACAUACGCGAUAUACUGUGUGUGUCUGAGCGAAAGCAUUAAGUAUCCCACCUGGGAAGUACGAUCGCAAGAUUG